CACCCGCGACAUUUCUUUUUCUUCUUCUUCUUCUUCAUUCCGCCAACGACCCAAAGGACCCUCCCUCCUCAACUCCAGUCACGACAGCGACUCUCCCACCUCAACUCCGGUCGUGACAACAACCCUCGUCAACUUCAGCAGCAGCUCCUUCCGUCGUUCACCGUUUCUCUCACUGCGUACUGAUCAUUCUCUUCGUAUAUAAUAGGGCCAGGAAAUUUUCAGGUCACACAUAUGGAGAUGAUAAAAAGAAUUCAAGGACAUGGUUAUCAUGAUGAACUUGUGGUCCCGAUAAUUGAGAACACUGCACAUGUAGUGGAGCUCAUGGAGUCUCUUGUUGAAGUUGUACUCUUUCUUCUGUCACAACUGUGCAAAUAAUUUUGUUCUAUGUUAAUACCAAUAUCUUGCGAAUACUUUUUAUAUGCACUAAUGGAAUGAUUUUAAAUUAUGAUUGGGUACUUUACCGUGAUGGAUGAAACUAAGAUCAUAUUAUGUGUGGAGACUUGCUUGGGCAAAUGAAAUUCUCAUGGACCAUAUGUUGAAUAGAAUGAGAGAAUCAGUGCCUACCCCAAACACUUUUGAUGCCAUCUUCCCUUGCAUGUGAUGCCAUCUUGGUACUCGGGCAAGGCAGUUUAAAGCGACAUCGUUUGCAAGGGACGGGACAAGAACAUCAGCUGCUGACAACGCUUCCUUGGUUGACUCCUGCUGGUUGUGUCUUUGGUCUUUGCCGGAAGCCAUGAGAGCUGGCCUGAGUAGCAAACCAUGCAUUGUGUACUUCUUGAUAUUGAAGGGACUGUAAUUUCUAUAUCAUUUGUUACGGAUGUCCUCUUACCUUAUGCCCAUGAUAAUGUGGGAAAACAUUUGGCUGCAACUUAUGAUAGCGAAGAAACCUAGAAGGAUAUUAAGUUGCUAUGUUCGCAAGUAAGAUUCUUCAGUUUUUGAAAUGUUAAACUAUCUAACAAGUAUUUUUUUUAGAUCUCCUUACCUUACCUUCACUUUCCUUUUUAUUUCCCUCUAUUUCUUGAGGGCCCGGGGAGAGGAGAGUAAGUUUUAGAGUUUGGGAAGAGGAAGAGAGAUACUAUGUCCGGUGAAAUUUGAGGUGAAAAUAAGUUUUCUUUUACCCUGGCAGAUUGAGAAUGAUUUGCCCAUCCCUUCAGACUAUGUUGGGAAAGACUUGGUUAUUGCUUCUUUAGUUGCUAACAUAGAAGCAAUGACUCGGGCCAACAAAAUUUUUCCUUCCCUGAGACAACUGCAAGUAAGUUGCAUAGAGUUUGCUUGUAAAUUGUAAUGUUCUUUUGGGCUAUAGUUCUCAAUAAACACUUGAUGUGCAAGAACACAUAUGGAAAAUUGGGUUCCAAAGCAAUCAGUUGGUGGGUAUUUUAUUUGAAGAUGUUGCAAAAGCACUUGAAAGAUGGCAUGCUUUGGGAUUUAAGGUGUACAUAUACUCAAGUGGUAAUAGAGAAACACAACAGCUAUUGUUUGCGAAUUCCAAUUAUGGAGACUUAAGAAAGUACUUGUGUGGAUAUUUUGAUACUUCAGUUGG